CUGGUUAAAAACCUCUCGCACCCGCCAGUGGCUCACACAACCCCCAGCCCCACCCGAGGCCGAGGCCCCUCUCCCAGGGGAAGUGGUAGCAGAGCUCCACAGUCCCAGGAGGAGACGCAGCCCGAGGGGACGAUGAGGCGUCUGUGGCUGGUGCUGCUGCUGGUUCUGGCGCUGGCCGGGGCAGCCCUGGCUGGGCCCGUCCUGCAGCAGCCGCUGGGCGUGGAGGGUCCCGGCGCGGUGGCAGCGCGUGAUGGGGCGUCGGCCCAGGUGGACGGAGCCCAACAGCAGCCGCUGGGAGUGAGAGU